UACGGGGGGGGCAAGCGUUGUUCGGAAUUACUGGGCGUAAAGGGCUCGUAGGCGGCCAACUAAGUCAUACGUGAAAUCCCUCGGCUUAACCGGGGAACUGCGUCUGAUACUGGAUGGCUUGAGUUCGGGAGAGGGAUGCGGAAUUCCAGGUGUAGCGGUGAAAUGCGUAGAUAUCGGGAGGAACACCGGUGGCGAAGGCGGUUCUCUGGGCCUUACCUGGACGCUGAGGAGCGAAAGCGUGGGGAGC
rnacentral:rRNA from 1 species